CUCCCUCCCUCCAUCCCCCAUCUCCCUUCUCCACUCUCUGUGCUCGCUGGUUGCCAAGUGCUAAGAAUCCGGGGAAUGUGGGAUUGCAGUAUUCUGAUAAAGUUUGCUUUGUUCCCUCAGUGACCUGAGCUCAGGGAGGAAGGCUGGGAGUUUCAGCCAGAGCAGUGCACUGGUUCACAAACACACAUUAUAUGAUUAGACAUACAGAUAAACCUCCGGUUUCCAGACAUACAUGCACCUGACCAAGCUACAGAUGAUAUCAAAGCCGAACAGAAGGUACAGUGACAUAAGACCGAGAGUUCCAGACACUGAGACGGAGUCACUGUGGGUUCAUAUGCUGGAGCAGGAUUAGGGACUGAAGCGCACUGGAAUAGAGGGGGAGGGCUGCAGAAUGUUGGACUGCAUUCCUCACCUUAUCUUUUCACUGCGUUCACAUGUGAUUACAUGCACACACAUGUUGUAGACAAGCUCACACACACUGACUUAUGGAAAAAGUCUGAAGAAAGCUACACAAAGGACAAACUUUUAUCCUCGUACAUGAGGGAUAACUAACUAGAUUCAACAAGACAAUAUUUAUUGAAGCGAGAGACUGGAGCCAGAACAUAAUUAUAAUGUACUUAACAAAAAUAUCAACGUAAAUUGUUGGUUCCAUGUGUCGUGUUUUUCUCCGAUCAUGUAACAUCCAUAGAUUAGGGCCUAAUUUACUUUAUUUCAGUUGAGUGAUUUGCGCUGGAUAAAAUGUUGAGGUUUUAGCAGUUGUGUAUUUUGUUUUAAUGAGUACGUGCACACUCCAAAUUGAACACAACUCAACCUAAAGAGAUUGUUUGUAAAUAACAAUUUCCUAUGUUGAUUUCAUUUUACACAGGUCACAUAAUGUCGUCUUAUUUCAGUUCUGGAAUGAAUUGGGAACAGAUUUACUAAAUGUCUAGCAAUAUGAUAUUAGCUACCCAGAUCUGAAUAAUGACCACCCCCCCCCCCCCCCCCCCCCCCCCCCGAAAUCCGUAUGGAGGUGGUUAAUUGGACUCUGCUCCACAGGACCACAUUAAUAUUUUUUCGACACAAACUUUGAGGACCCAAAAAAAUCACUUGCCGCCCAGUUUUUGCCCUGAAGGCUGCUUUUCGCCAAACCCCGCCCUACACAGGAACACAGCGAUGUCGCAGAGGUCAGGGUGAGGGUUAAGGCGGUGUAUGGUAAACACACAGAUUGUGAUUGCCUGCUAGGGGGAGAAAGAGGGAGGAAGAGGAUGACAACGGCAGAGGCAGGAAGUUAGAGUUCGGUUGGGGGACCGGGUGGAAAGGCCACUGGGAGGGCCUAUAAUGCAGACACACUGCUCUCAGUGUGUGUGUGUGUGUGUGUGUGUGGGAGGGAGUGUGUGUGAUGGCUAAACAGAAGCUGUGUGUAGUGUUUGCAUGGUAAAUAUGACGCCAGUACUUUUUGUGUGGGAGCUACCAUGGUGGAAUGUCACAUGCUGACAGAAUGCUUACAGAACAACAAAGAAAAGCCAGAGAAAACAGAAUGGACAGCCGGCAGUAACCCUGUAGGUACUGGAGACCAGUCAGUAACCCUGUAGGUACUGGAGACCAGUCAGUAACCCUGUAGGUACUGUCGACCAGUCAGUAACCCUGUAGGUACUGUCGACCAGUCAGUAACCCUGUAGGUACUGGGGACCAGGCAGUAACCCUGUAUGUACAACAGACCAGUCAGUAAAACUACGCACUGGGGACGAGGCAGUAACCCUAGAUGUACUAAAGACCAGGUAGUAACCCUGUAAGUACUAAAGACCAGGCAAUAAGCCUGUGCAUACUGUAGACUGUAGCUAUAGAGCCAAUUUGGUUGGAGAUUUGGGGUUUGGAUGAUGUUCACACCAAUUGGCCAAAUACAUUGAAUUUGUUUGGAUAGCGAAUGAAUUGUAGCAAUAAGGCUAUGCUGUAUGUUACACACAGUGUAAUGCCCAUGUGGUGGUUUUAACAGGGUCCAGAUAUAUCAUCUGUAGAACAGCUGGCAGUAGGGGCUACUGUAAACAUCCUUGACUGAAAGCUGGUGUUUCAAAGAGGGCUUUCAGUCGGAUGUUUGCAGCAGCCAACUGCUAUUAUCAUCACAACUACUAUACAGACAUUUCUCUCCUUAACGACAACUUUUCCAGCCAUCACUAGUAGACUGAAAUAGAAUCAACUGUGUUUGCCAUAAAUACAUAGAUGCUUACUAUUGCCUGUUGUCAUAGAGAGCCAAGUGCUAGCUUAAGCAAAAAGCCAAAGUCCUGCGAGGGUCACAUUCCUGCUGAUUGUCACGCCUGACUUGGGAAACCCUGUAGCUUGGUCCCCAGCCAAUCGUAACCAUGAUCAAUGAAAUUCAAUGUUUGGAGCAGCACACCCUGGUUCAGCACUCUGGACAGCUCUCAGGAUGACAUGCCAGCCCAGGGGAAACAAACCCACAGGGACUUCAUAUAUAGCCUCAAUUCUCACAGGGCAGUUUCUUAGAUCAGCACCAUCUCUGAUGACUGUGCCCGGAAGACUUAAGGAAAAGACAGUGGGAGAAAUGACAGGGCUAGAGAGGAGAGGAAAUGCCUGUGAGGCUGGUUGGGAGGGGUUUCAUCCUCAGGAGAGAAGUGGAAAAGGAGAUGAGGGAGGUUUGGAGCUCGGCCAGGACAGAGGACUCUGGACCGUGGGAUUUGUCUGCCAUCUUGUUUCCUUCAUUAGCUUCCUUGUCCAGGUCUACUGUUCUUUUACACCAGUGAUCUCAGAACAUGACAAGCCAAACCAACACAAUGAAAACCAGUCUUUUUAUAUACUUGGUUCUUGAAGGAAAAUCAUUUAGGAGUUCUGAGUCAGACCUGAAAGUUUUGUCCAAUUGAUUUGUCAGUAAGCACGAGUUCUAACUUCCGGCCAACCUAUGACCUCUCUGGGCUUCAGGCAGUGUAAACAUCCUACACUCUCAGCAGCGCCCUCUAGCAGCCGGGAGUGGGAUGUUUGCGUUGCCUGUCUCGGGAAUGCUCACAGAAUACUCCGGAAUACUGCUGAGUGCCUUCUGAAUGCCGGACGAGCCAGUGCAGGAAACGGGAGGGGCCGCCAUCUGAUUGGCUGUCUGGCUUGUUGACCCGGCCACGUCGGCCCCGGUGGGACACCGGACCACCCAUAUCACAACGAAAAGCUCAACAGGAAAUGCACACAAUACAUACUGUACAUACCUGAACACACUGAAACAUCUAGACAUUAACAAACCGGCGUUUUGCGGAGAAACAGACCAUGCCAGAAAAGGACGUGAUGAAGGAAUAAAGGCUGGGCUCUGUUCGGGUGUGCGGUAGGCUGAUCCCCAAGCCCAAUCUCCUCUCCGUUACGGGUGGACUGGCUGUGAUGUCAUGUUCUAUGUUAUAUGUCUGCUGAUUUAAUGGCCCGUCUCUGGAUUGACUGGAGCCUAUGCUAUGUUAAGUGGCUGUGAGAGGCACAGCGCACAAAGGAAGUACAAACUCAAACCAUUGUGUGAUUAGAGCAGGGUUCGUAUAUGUGUAUAGUGUGUGUGUGUGUGUCUCCUUAAAAGCUCUGUUCCUUGGUCUGUGGCAACCAGACCCACCCAGACUGAAGUGAUGUCGCAACAACAUGGAGCCCAAGAGGAAGUAGCUAUAAAUACCUUUAUACACCCCCACCAAACACACAGACACACAGCACUGGCCUAGUCUCCCUUCCUAUGGUGAGCUGCACUGCCCUUUUCUACAGUGAUUACUUUGUUUUGAUUUCUCAUGCAGAUAUCACAAAACAUUGAAUCUGCCCUACUGCUCUUUCAGCAAAAAUAAAUAUUUUUGCCAUUUUUCUGUCUGAAAAAAAGCAUAAUUCCUUUAAGAUUAUAGACUGUAUGAUGAAUAAUGUAAAUGAAGGUCUUCAUGUAUUCGUGGUAUGUUAGUUAACACGAGUUUGAAUGGGUUACUAGGUGUCUUAAUGGUAUAUUUAAGCAAUAUGGCGGACAGUGUGGUAUGUGACCUUUGCAUCAUUUGUACCUGCUUUGUCCUUGUAUAAGUGGAGAAUAAACUUUGAUUAAAC
ensembl:lncRNA